rnacentral:rRNA from 1 species
CAGUAGCCGCGGUAACACAGAGGGUGCGAGCGUUAAUCGGAUUUACUGGGCGUAAAGCGUGCGUAGGCGGCUUCUUAAGUCGGAUGUGAAAUCCCUGAGCUUAACUUAGGAAUUGCAUUCGAUACUGGGAAGCUAGAGUAUGGGAGAGGAUGGUAGAAUUCCAGGUGUAGCGGUGAAAUGCGUAGAGAUCUGGAGGAAUACCGAUGGCGAAGGCAGCCAUCUGGCCUAAUACUGACGCUGAGGUACGAAAGCAUGGGGAGCAAACAGGAUUAGAGACCCCAGUAGUCCCUGUCUCUUAUAC